rnacentral:lncRNA from 1 species
ACGGAGGGAAGCAUGGCGCCCAGGUGCGAGCACUCAGACCAACAUGUCCUGCGCAAUAGUAGCCGAGGCAGAAAUGAAAGGAACGGACACGCCCCUCUCUGGUCAUCUGCUAUUGAAGGAAGCAGGGCUUGACAUCUUGCAGGGAUCACGGAUUAACUUCUCUUUGGCCUGAGUAAGCACGUGUUCGUCACAGCACACAUGUGGAAGUCAGAGGUCAAUCCAUAGCAGUCAGAUCUCCUCUCAUUGGUCGUAGGGAUCAAAGUCAAGUUGUUGGCUUUGGUAACAGACACCUUUACCUGCUGAUUCAUCUUACAAGAUCCUAGUGUAAAGUUUGUUAGCUUUGGAAUCCCUUUUGAGAGGGGCAAUCUAAAAAUACAUAUUUCUGUUGGCAUAAAGACAACUGGGAGGAAAUAUAAAAUAAUAAAAACUUUAGAGGCCAGAGGUGCUGUUGAGUAUUUUCUUCUAUCAAUCUCCACCAUAGCUUUUGAGACUAGAUCUCCCACUGGACCUAGAACUUGGUGUUUAGCCUAGCUGGCUGGCCAGCCAUCCCUCCUGAAUGCCCCACCCCAGGCACUUGGGCUACAGGCGUGCACUGCCACACCAGCUUGUUCUGUUCUUACUGUUAGAUGUAGGUGCUGGGGAUUUGACCUUGUUUCCUCAUACGUGUGUGGCAAGCAGUUUACCUACUGAGCCAUCUCUUAGUUAUGUGCUUCAUGAGGAAGGGAAAAAAUGAAAAUAAUAAGGUAGAUAAAGGUGGGCGAGAAAUCUUUUACCCUUUAACUUUCUAUAGUGUUUUGACUUUUGAGCCACGAAACUAUUAGCUAAUAAAGGCAACCGGUCUC